AACUACACAUAAGAGGUCCUGCCUGCCCUGUGACCCCUGGUUCAACGGCCGCGGUAUUUUGACCGUGCAAAGGUAGCGCAAUCACUUGUCUCUUAAAUGAGGACCUGUAUGAAUGGCACAACGAGGGCUUAACUGUCUCCUUUUCCCGGUCAGUGAAAUUGAUCUUCCCGUGCAGAAGCGGGAAUCCUAACAUAAGACGAGAAGACCCUAUGGAGCUUUAGACUUUCGAACAGAUCAUGUAAGCUACCCCCAUGAAAUGGGUAAUAACUAUUGAAUUCCUGUUCUCCUGUCUUUGGUUGGGGCGACCACGGGGAAGAAAAAAACCCCCAUGUGGACCAGGAGCACAUUACUCCUACAACCAUGAGCCACAGCUCUAAUGCACAAAACCUUUGACCAUUAGAUCCGGCAAAGCCGAUCAACGGACCAAGUUACCCUAGGGAUAACAGCGCAAUCCCCUUUAAGAGUCCAUAUCGACAAGGGGGUUUACGACCUCGAUGUUGGAUCAAGACAUCCUAAUGGUGCAGCCGCUAUUAAGGGUUCGUUUGUUCAACGAUUAAAGUCUU
rnacentral:rRNA from 1 species